rnacentral:rRNA from 1 species
UACGUAGGGUGCGAGCGUUAAUCGGAAUUACUGGGCGUAAAGCGUGCGCAGGCGGUUGUGCAAGACAGAUGUGAAAUCCCCGGGCUUAACCUGGGAACUGCAUUUGUGACUGCACAGCUAGAGUGCGGCAGAGGGGGAUGGAAUUCCGCGUGUAGCAGUGAAAUGCGUAGAUAUGCGGAGGAACACCGAUGGCGAAGGCAAUCCCCUGGGCCUGCACUGACGCUCAUGCACGAAAGCGUGGGGAGCAAACAGG